rnacentral:snRNA from 1 species
CUUUUCAUAAGGCAUAGUAAUACUAAAAUUGGAAUGAUACAGAGAAGAUUAGCAUGGCUCCUGCACAAGGAUGACACACAAAUUCAUGAAGCGUUCCGUAUUUUG